UACGGAGGGUGCAAACGUUGCUCGGAAUCAUUGGGCGUAAAGCGCACGUAGGCGGCCUGUUAAGUCUGAUGUGAAAGCCCUGGGCUCAACCUGGGAAUGGCAUUGGAAACUGGCGACCUAGAGUGCGGUAGAGGGCAGUGGAAUUCCCGGUGUAGCAGUGAAAUGCGUAGAGAUCGGGAGGAACAUCUGUGGCGAAGGCGACUGCCUGGACCAGCACUGACACUGAGGCACGAAAGCGUGGGGAGCAAACAGG
rnacentral:rRNA from 1 species